AAAGCUUGCUUUUGUAAGUYAGCGGCGGACGGGUGAGUAACACGUGGGCAACCUGCCCUUGAGACUGGGAUAACUUCGGGAAACCGGAGCUAAUACCGGAUAAUAUAAGGAACCUCCUGGUUCCUUAUUGAAAGAUGGUUUCGGCUAUCACUUAAGGAUGGGCCCGCGGCGCAUUAGCUAGUUGGUGAGGUAACGGCUCACCAAGGCGACGAUGCGUAGCCGACCUGAGAGGGUGAUCGGCCACACUGGGACUGAGACACGGCCCAGACUCCUACGGGAGGCAGCAGUAGGGAAUCUUCCACAAUGGACGAAAGUCUGAUGGAGCAACGCCGCGUGAGUGAUGAAGGCCUUCGGGUCGUAAAGCUCUGUUGUUAGGGAAGAACAAGUGCGAGAGUAACUGCUCGCACCUUGACGGUACCUAACCAGAAAGCCACGGCUAACUACGUGCCAGCAGCCGCGGUAAUACGUAGGUGGCAAGCGUUAUCCGGAAUUAUUGGGCGUAAAGCGCGCGCAGGUGGUUUCUUAAGUCUGAUGUGAAAGCCCACGGCUCAACCGUGGAGGGUCAUUGGAAACUGGGGAACUUGAGUGCAGAAGAGGAAAGUGGAAUUCCAAGUGUAGCGGUGAAAUGCGUAGAGAUUUGGAGGAACACCAGUGGCGAAGGCGACUUUCUGGUCUGUAACUGACACUGAGGCGCGAAAGCGUGGGGAGCAAACAGGAUUAGAUACCCUGGUAGUCCACGCCGUAAACGAUGAGUGCUAAGUGUUAGAGGGUUUCCGCCCUUUAGUGCUGCAGCUAACGCAUUAAGCACUCCGCCUGGGGAGUACGGUCGCAAGACUGAAACUCAAAGGAAUUGACGGGGGCCCSCMCAAGCGG
rnacentral:rRNA from 1 species